GGACCAUCCUCCAAGGCUAAAUACUCCUGACUGACCGAUAGUGAACCAGUACCGUGAGGGAAAGGCGAAAAGAACCCCGGCGAGGGGAGUGAAAAAGAACCUGAAACCGUGUACGUACAAGCAGUGGGAGCACCCUUUGGGGUGUGACUGCGUACCUUUUGUAUAAUGGGUCAGCGACUUAUAUUCUGUAGCAAGGUUAACCGUAUAGGGGAGCCGCAGGGAAACCGAGUCUUAACCGGGCGUUAAGUUGCAGGGUAUAGACCCGAAACCCGGUGAUCUAGCCAUGGGCAGGUUGAAGGUUGGGUAACACUAACUGGAGGACCGAACCGACUAAUGUUGAAAAAUUAGCGGAUGACCUGUGGCUGGGGGUGAAAGGCCAAUCAAACCGGGAGAUAGCUGGUUCUCCCCGAAAGCUAUUUAGGUAGCGCCUCGUGAACUCAUCUCCGGGGGUAGAGCACUGUUUCGGCUAGGGGGCCAUCCCGGCUUACCAACCCGAUGCAAACUGCGAAUACCGGAGAAUGUUAUCACGGGAGACACACGGCGGGUGCUAACGUCCGUCGUGAAGAGGGAAACAACCCAGACCGCCAGCUAAGGUCCCAAAGUCAUGGUUAAGUGGGAAACGAUGUGGGAAGGCCCAGACAGCCAGGAUGUUGGCUUAGAAGCAGCCAUCAUUUAAAGAAAGCGUAAUAGCUCACUGGUCGAGUCGGCCUGCGCGGAAGAUGUAACGGGGCUAAACCAU
rnacentral:rRNA from 1 species